UCGCCAAUGUACAGUUCUGCUGGCACUCAACUUCUUUCUACGAAAACGACGCGUAUACUCUGGGAUUUUUAAUACAGUAACUUUUUACAUCAACGGACAACUUUUUUUUGGCUGACAUUUCUGAAGUGUGCCUUUUGAGACUCGAAAAAGAUCCCGGCAUUUAGGAGGUCUAACUUGGGAGUUAGGGAAAAUACACUACUGUCGAACGUGCUUUGGGGACGGAGCAAGCUUUAGAUGCUGUUCAGAAUUUGAUUAUUAAUUUACUUCAAGUGGAUACAACAUCUGCAGUUCUCACGUGUGGUCGGGAGUUAAAUGUUCGUGGUUAGUUAGGCCACUUACCAGUUGGUAAAGUAAUACAAUGGUCCCGAAGCCUGUGAAUCAUUUCUGAAAACUCGAGUUAUAAGGUUUUGACGAGUAGCCUACUCGUCCUACAACUUGUUGCCGCAUUGGGGUCCACGAACACGUUGUAGCCAAUGUGUGUUUAAAAUGUUUUGCUUUUGCUCCGUGUCCACGAACAGGACUUUAGCGUAAAGAUUUAUCUUGUAGGCUAUCAAUUUCAGAAUAGCAAAACUCAUGUGUGGCAUACCUGGUCUUUUUUAUAUGAAUCUUCGGUUCUUCUGGAGAUAUACCAUAUGCGCUGGAGUUUCAAAGUGUUUCGAGGAGGACACUUGUGUUGGGAAUAUUUCAGCAACCUGUUGAGCCUAAUACACUACUCGGGACUGAUUCAGCCUUGCUUUGGAAAUGUAACUUGGAUUGUGUUGAAUAAGCUGUGUAAUGAUGUUUAUCGCGACGUGACGGGUCGCGCGUCGAAAUGGGAACAUAUUUAUCCACCUUAUUUUUUCCAGGUCUAAAUUGUGUUCUUUAACCAAUUGGAUUGAAUCGAACUUUGCUUCAAGUAGAAACUUGCACUUUUUAAAUGAAGAGGGAGUGUACCUCCAGGAAAAUAGAAAAGUGUGUCUUUGAAAGGUGGAUUAAUGCACGUUUUCAAGUUCGCAUUUUCAGUAAUUGCCCUCAUGUCUCAUGCGUGUGCUGUAUGCUUGGCCUCUCCUGUGAGCGAUACAGGGUAGCCAGCAUAUUUACGUCUAUUUGCCAUUUAAUUUACAGUAAUACCCAUCCUGAUGUAUUUUCAAAUUAUAUUGACAUUUUUAAUUAAGCUAAUGCAUGCACGUUUUAAACGUUGCCAGGAGUAGUACCUCUUGCCUCUGAUUAUGAAAACGACUGUUUUGAGACUAUUUUCUGAAGGAGAAAAUAUUCAGGACAUGGUGUAAAAAAAAACCUACAGACUUUACAUGUGCAUCUCCCGUUUACCAACGGUCAGUGCAGUUUUUUAGACUGGACAAAUAGAUUGAUUUGGAACAUUCUCCCCCCACUUGAUUCUACGUCGAAGGUUUGACAGCUUUGUUGUCCGCAAUGCGCGGCUGGAGCCCGCCGCGUCAGCCGGUGCAAUGACCGUCCUCCAGCGGCGACUGGCCGGGCUCUGGCCGUGGCUGCUAAUGGCGGCCCUUCAGGUGGUGUUUGGCCAGACUGGCUUGGAGCUGGCUGCCGCGGUGGAGUCGGAGCGAUCAGCCACCAGAGCGGUCAUCAAGGUGACUCUUCUCAAGCACGAACCGACCGGGAGGCCUAUCACUCUGGAAGGGGUGUUUGCUGGAGGGAGCGCCGGCUACGCAGAAGGGAAAUUGAUGCAGUCCCACCCUUUGUCUCUGUGCAACACCAGUGAGGAUGAGCGCCCGGAGAGCAACUUCAUCAGCAUCGUCAAGCUGGAGAGCCCCGAGCGCAAUGUGCACCACUGCCUGCCGCUGCUGGACAAGGCUCGACUGGCUCUGGAGAGAGGUGCUCAGGCUGUUAUCUUUGAUGUCACUGACCAUGCUAAUGCGGAGCAUGAGCUGCAGGACUCGGACUCUCUGCCCGGGCCUGUGGUUCUGGUGCGCGCCAGCCACGCCGAGGAGCUCAUGGGCCUGGUCAACAAGAACGAGGAGGCCAGGGUCCAGAUCGAGAUCAUGGUGGAGGUCCAGAAAUGGCCCCACUAUGAUGUGGUCAUUCUGCUCACCGUGGUCCUGGCAGUCCUGGCCAUCGUCAUGAUCUUCGCCUUCCGUUACCGCUGCAAGUCCAACAGAACCUGGGAUUCGGUGCACCAGCAGACGGUGCGCGCCAUCAGCCGACUGGAGACGCGCAUCUACAGCUCCCAGAGCUGCUCGGGGUCACAGCGCCACCAAGGGUCCCGGGGGUCCGGCAGCAGCUCCAACUCCAGUCCUGUCUGCGCCAUCUGCCUGGAGGAGUUUCUGGAUGGACAGGAUCUGCGGAUCAUCUCGUGUGCCCAUGAGUUCCAUAAGGAGUGUGUGGACCCCUGGCUCCUGCAGCACCGCACCUGUCCUCUCUGCAUGCACAACAUCAUGGGUGCAGAGAUGGCCGCCGCUCGGCUGGCCCAGAGGAGCCGCAUGCAGCCUCCGCCCGAGCACAGCCAGGCCUUCCUCCACCCGCACCCCCACCCCCACCCGCACCCCCACCCCCACCCGCACCCGUACCCCGGCCCCCACGGCUACCCCUCACAGCACGCCAUCCCCUUCUCCCUGCGGCCCUCCUACCACCGCGCGGGCCCCUCGGGCCCCUACCCGCCGCUGGGCCACUACCGGGGCUCCCCUCCGCUCCACCCGCGCACGCUCCGCUGCCGGCCCCUGGGCCCCGGGUGCAGCUACCAGCUGGCCCCCGAGGGCCACCACAUGGGGGGCGGAGGAGGAGGAGGAGGAGGGGGCCGCGUGCACAGGACAGCGGGGGGGAUGUGCCGGAGCGCGGGGCACCUGGGAGCGCCGUCUCUGUACGGGCCGCGUACGGAGCGCGUACGGACCUGUCACGGGCACCGGUGCACGUCCGGGGCGCGGGCACAACACGUGCCCGGCGGCGGCAUUGCCGUUGUUGGCGCAAGCGGCGUCCAGCAGGUGGCGCACAGCCGGCAGGACGACGGCAGCUGCUCGGGCGCCAGCUACCGCACGGAGCGCAGCGGCUACCUGGCGGACGGGCCGGCCAGCGACUCCAGCUCGGGCCCCUGCCACGGCUCGUCCAGCGACUCGGUGCUCAACUGCACCGACGUCAGCCUGCAGGGCGUCUACGGCAGCUGGUCCACCUUCCGCAGCUCGCUCAGCAGCGACUACGACCCCUUCGUGUACCGGCCGGGCCGCGGCCCCCGCCGAGACAGCCUGGAGGGAACGCGGCCGCGCUCCCUGGACUCCGUCAUGAACCGGAGCGGGAUCGGCGGGAUCGCCGGUAUCGGCGUUUGCGGGGACGAGCUUCUCCCGCCGGCUCCGCCCGCCGUCUUUAGCCACGUGCACUACCACCGCCACCGGCACCACUACUACGAGGACGAGCGCGGCCAGACGCAGGGGCCCGGCCGAGGCUCCGACGAGGAGCUCGGGGGGCCGGCGGCGGCGGUGGUGAUGGUGGCGGCCGGUAGCGGCGGUGGUAUCGGUGGUCCCCCCGUCCCCUCCGCGGACAAAGACUCGCCGCUGUGCUCGCUAGCGCACCCCUCCUGCCAGUGCCCCAAGGUGGGCCACUCAGACAGGUCAAGCCACGGGGGGUCGGAGGGCCAGGACAAGGACGUGGACCGGCCUCUGUCGGCGCUGCCCUCCCCUCCCCCUCCUCCUCCUCCUCCUCCCUGCUGCCACCAGGGCCCUCCGGGACGCCAGCAGCAGCAGCAGCAGCAGCAGCAGCGUUGGCGUGCGAUGGGCAGCUGUGGGCUGGACGCUUCCCCCGCGGCGGGGCUGCCCACCGUUCGCUUCCACCAGAGCCUGGACCUGCAGGACGACUGCAGCAUCCACAUCCACUACGGCCAGAGCCCCCACGCCGCCGCCUACUGCUGCCCACCGCCUCCUCCUCUCCCCCCGCCAGACAUGCCCGCGGCCGGCCUGCUGCCCGUGCCCCUCAUCCUGGACUCGGCGGGCAUGGGCGAGUGGCCGUGCUGCGCGGGCGCCCACGUGGUGUGGCAGAAGCGGGUGCAGCAGGCGCACUCGGAGCCCCAGCUCCUCCUGGAGCCCGUGGGGCACGACGGACACCGCUGCCGGGCUCGCCACGGCCACCAGGGGGCAGAGCUGCCCGCCGACGUCUGCCUGUACUGCCAAACACUACACAACAAUCAGGGUGAGCCUACAGUAUAGCACAUGACCGCAGCUCUGCCUGUACUGCCAAACACUACACAACAAUCAGGGUGAGCCUACAGUAUAGCACCGCAGCUCUGCCUGUACUGCCAAACACUACACAACAAUCAGGGAUCAGAGGAGGAGUCUGGUGUGUGAGAGUCUGGUGCGUCGCCAGGGUCACGCUGCUACUCAAGAGCCGGAAAUGGACAAAACUCAUCAGCCGCCUCUCUCACAAAACAAAAAAAAAAACGUCUUCCAAAUAAUUCCACGUCCCGUCUUCCCUCAGAAAGCCUCUCUCUCCCCCUCCGGCAUCUGUCGGUUCCCACACUAGAAGGUACUUAGUCAGUCCAGCCUCUCGCAGAGAGUGAAAAAGCUCACGCAGGUCCAGUUUUUGUCAAUGAUUUCAUAGUUUAUCCGUUGGUUGAGCCACAGACCUCUAUGAGGUCUGACAGACAUGCCAUUCAGCUUGUCAGCUUUUCAUUUUUUUUUUUUUCAUUUUCUUGAAUGAAAUGUGCUGGUGGUGUGAACGGGAACUCAAAAGACGCUGGAGAAAAAGCUUUCUCAAAACUUAAAAGGGGAAAAAAAGUGUUUUGUUCUAUUUUUGCUUUGUGCCUUUUUGUUUGACAAUUACAGGAAGCAUUGAUUACACUGCAUUUUAAAUAGAAGUCCCAGAAAUCCUCAGUGACCUCCCUGGAUGACCUGUGCCAGGGGACUAAGCUGCAGUUUAUUAUGCACAACAAAUGACAUUACCCCCCACCCAUCCCAUUUGCCCAAAUCAGUCCUUAUCCAUAAACAGAGUAGGACAUCUCUGGAAGGAAGGAAAGAUUGUUUAUGGUGGACAGACGAUUGCUUUAAAUGCACACAGCUGGCCAGGUGGUGUCUCUCUCAGUCAAUGACAAGUCUGUCACAUGAAUCUGUGUGGAUGUCUUUCAAGCCAGUAUGAGAAAAAAAAACAACCCUCAUGUUGGAGGAAGCACAAUUACCAUGUGUAUGAAAAGAUUAUUUUCCCCCCAUAUGACGUUAGGGUUUCUUCAAACAAGGGGAGGGUUUUAUUUCAGUUAUCCAGCCAGUGAGUUGAGCAGCUCCUCCAUACUGGAAUGCACCAGAAAUCAGUGACCUCAGACACCUCAGGAUUCUAACCCCCCCCCCCCCACCCCACCCC